AAGCAAAUGCUUAACUGACUGAGCCACCCAGACACCCCCAGAUUUGAUAUCAUGAGAUGAACAUUUCAGAAACAUCAUUCUGCCUGCAGAGUGAGUAUGGAGGACAAUUAAAUCUGUCGGGAUCCCAACAAAAUCUGAACUACAGUCAUGCAGUAAGAAUAGAGCAAGAGGAUUUAUGUAAAAGUCCAAAGCUGACAGAUUCUGCUCCACAUAAUCUUUCAGGGAUCCAAGCUGACAGAAGCUCUACAAUCUUCAAUUCCUGGCUGCCUUGUAUCCAGACAAGAUAUAACAGAUUGCAAAGAAAGCAUGUUUGUCCUCAACUGCCUCAGACCAAACAGAACACUUCGGGUCCACUCACGGUUCACUGCACAGAACUCAAUCACACCCCCCCCCCCCCCCCGCCAUGUAACUGCAGGGAAAGCUGGGAAAUGAAG